rnacentral:rRNA from 1 species
AUUGAACGCUGGCGGCAGGCCUAACACAUGCAAGUCGAGCGAGCGGCGGACGGGUGAGUAAUGUCUGGGAAACUGCCUGAAGGAGGGGGAUAACUACUGGAAACGGUAGCUAAUACCGCAUACCAUCAGAUGUGCCCAGAUGGGAUUAGCUAGUAGGUGGGGUAAUGGCUCACCUAGGCGAAGAUCCCUAGCUGGUCUGAGAGGAUGACCAGCCCCACUGAACCUGAGACACGGUCCAGCCUCUUACGGGAGGCGUCAGUGUGGAUUUUUGCCCAAUGGGCGCAAGCCUGAUGCGGCCAUGCCCGGUGUGUGAAGAAGGCUUUCGGUUUGUAAAGCCCUUUCAGCGGGGAGGCGUUACCCGCAGAAGAAGCCCCGCCUAACUCCGUGCCAGCAGCGCGGUAAUUC